UGCAGUCGAGCGGACAGAAGGGAGCUUGCUCCCGGAUGUUAGCGGCGGACGGGUGAGUAACACGUGGGUAACCUGCCUGUAAGACUGGGAUAACUCCGGGAAACCGGAGCUAAUACCGGAUAGUUCCUUGAACCGCAUGGUUCAAGGAUGAAAGACGGUUUCGGCUGUCACUUACAGAUGGACCCGCGGCGCAUUAGCUAGUUGGUGGGGUAAUGGCUCACCAAGGCGACGAUGCGUAGCCGACCUGAGAGGGUGAUCGGCCACACUGGGACUGAGACACGGCCCAGACUCCUACGGGAGGCAGCAGUAGGGAAUCUUCCGCAAUGGACGAAAGUCUGACGGAGCAACGCCGCGUGAGUGAUGAAGGUUUUCGGAUCGUAAAGCUCUGUUGUUAGGGAAGAACAAGUGCGAGAGUAACUGCUCGCACCUUGACGGUACCUAACCAGAAAGCCACGGCUAACUACGUGCCAGCAGCCGCGGUAAUACGUAGGUGGCAAGCGUUGUCCGGAAUUAUUGGGCGUAAAGGGCUCGCAGGCGGUUUCUUAAGUCUGAUGUGAAAGCCCCCGGCUCAACCGGGGAGGGUCAUUGGAAACUGGGAAACUUGAGUGCAGAAGAGGAGAGUGGAAUUCCACGUGUAGCGGUGAAAUGCGUAGAGAUGUGGAGGAACACCAGUGGCGAAGGCGACUCUCUGGUCUGUAACUGACGCUGAGGAGCGAAAGCGUGGGGAGCGAACAGGAUUAGAUACCCUGGUAGUCCACGCCGUAAACGAUGAGUGCUAAGUGUUAGGGGGUUUCCGCCCCUUAGUGCUGCAGCUAACGCAUUAAGCACUCCGCCUGGGGAGUACGGUCGCAAGACUGAAACUCAAAGGAAUUGACGGGGGGCCCGCACAAGCGGUGGAGCAUGUGGUUUAAUUCGAAGCAACGCGAAGAACCUUACCAGGUCUUGACAUCCUCUGACAACCCUAGAAGAUAGGGGCUUUCCCUUCGGGGACAGAGUGACAGGUGGUGCAUGGUUUGUCGUCAGCUCCGUGUCGUG
rnacentral:rRNA from 1 species